AACUUGUGCUGGGAGCAUAUUGUACUUUUAUCUUAAUCAAAAAGAGACACCCAAGCGUCUCCUGUGAGUGCAAGUAGACCUAAUCAUCCCUAAACAUAUGUUGAAACAGUGUCUGUAGUGGAUGAGAUCUUGGAAGCUCUGAGCCACCCAGCAGAGAGGUGGGUUAUUAGAAUGUCAGUGUAUCAGAGUUAGAGUGCUGUCUAAAUUAGACUGCAUGCUCUUGCUAAUCCUCAGAUGUUUCUCCAUUGAGUGCGAGAUAAGUUUAGUCUUCACCCCUCACUGAGGAAACUUGUUCAUGGAACAGGCAACAAUUACUACAGAAAACCACAUCCAAUCAAAAUACGACAUCAUAAAGCCCAGUCCCAGUGUUUACAUCUGCAAAACACUCUGACGAUGCGGGUUACACGAAGACUACUCUCUUACAACAUGGGAGGCAACUGAAGAAAAGAGAUGAAUAAUUUUACAAUGGAGAAACCAAGCAAUCAUUACCUGAAGUGAUGAUUACAACUGUCGGUGGUGUGUCUGGCACAGUCUGGAUGGAUGAUCAGAGUUAAAGGGAGCUCGGAUAAUCAGCGGGGAGCAGGCAGCAACUGCCGCCAUUCCUCCCCGCUGCUCUGCAUGGGUGGAAAUGCGGCAUGUUUCUAUGCAUUUGCCAUUGUUGGGGAAAAGAAUUAUCUCGGUGUCAAGAGAGCGCAUUGGAACUAAGUGAAAGUAACACAGAAAGGCAAUUAUUUUUUUCCAGAAAGUUUACACCGAGACACGAACCCAUUUAGCAAGCACACUAGGGACAGUUGGUCCUCUCGGCUUUGUGAUAGUUGUUGUUUGCAGGCAUAUAUUUUUUGCAUCCAACUUUUAAUAAGGGUUCAACCUCUCCCCUAGCCUACCAUGCAGUAGAGGUAGUGGAGAGGAAAUUUAUUAGGAUAUGGGGGAAGUGAGCCUGUUCAGCAAUAGUUCUUUGGGGAAAAGCUUGAUCUUCUUGGGCAG
rnacentral:sRNA from 1 species